rnacentral:rRNA from 1 species
UUAGAGAGAUCGGAAGCGAGAAUGUUGACAUGAGUAGCGACAAACAGGGUGAGAGACCCUGUCGCCGAAAGUCCAAGGGUUCCUGCUUAAAGCUAAUCUGAGCAGGGUAAGCCGGCCCCUAAGGCGAGGCCGAAAGGCGUAGUCGAUGGGAACCAGGUUAAUAUUCCUGGGCCAGGAGGAUGUGACGGAUCUCGAAGGUUGUCUGCCCUUAUCGGAUUGGGUGGGCCGCUUAGAGGUUCCUGGAAAUAGCCCUCCACAAGACCGUACCCCAAACCGACACAGGUGGACUGGUAGAGAAUACCAAGGCGCUUGAGAGAACCACAUCAAAGGAACUCGGCAAAAUGCUCCCGUAAGUUCGCGAGAAGGGAGCCCCGUCUGUAGGCAACUAUGGGCGGGGGGCACAAACCAGGGGGUGGCGACUGUUUACUUAAAACACAGGGCUGUGCGAAGCCGUAAGGCGACGUAUACAGUCUGACGCCUGCCCGGUGCUGGAAGGUUAAAAGGAGGGGUGCAAGCUCUGAAUUGAAGCCCCAGUAAACGGCGGCCGUAACAAUAACGGUCCUAAGGUAGCGAAAUUCCUUGUCGGGUAAGUUCCGACCUGCACGAAUGGCGUAACGAUCUCCCCGCUGUCUCUGAUGUGGACUCAGCGAAAUUGAACUGUGUGUCAAGAUGCACACUUCCCGCGGUUAGACGGAAAGACCCCAUGAACCUUUACUCCAGCUUUGCACUGGCAUCAGGAUUGUGAUGUGCAGGAUAGGUGGUAGGCAUCGAAGCAGAGACGCCAGUUUCUGUGGAGCCUCCCUUGAGAUACCACCCUUCGCACUCUUGAUGUCUAACCGCGGCCCGUUAUCCGGGUCCGGGACCAUGCAUGGUGGGGAGUUUGACUGGGGCGGUCGCCUCCCAAACAGUAACGGAGGCGCGCGAAGGUUGGCUCAGAGCGGUCGGAAAUCGCUCGUUGAGUGCAAUGGCAGAAGCCAGCCUGACUGCAAGACUGACAAGUCGAGCAGAGACGAAAGUCGGCCAUAGUGAUCCGGUGGUCCCAAGUGGGAGGGCCAUCGCUCAACGGAUAAAAGGUACUCUGGGGAUAACAGGCUGAUGAUGCCCAAGAGUCCAUAUCGACGGCAUCGUUUGGCACCUCGAUGUCGGCUCAUCUCAUCCUGGGGCUGGAGCAGGUCCCAAGGGUAUGGCUGUUCGCCAUUUAAAGAGGUACGUAGCUGGGUUUAGAACGUCGUGAGACAGUUCGGUCCAUAUCUGCCGUGGGUGUAGGAGACUUGAGAAGAGUUGCCCCUAGUACGAGAGGACCGGGGUGAACGUUCCACUGGUGGACCAGUUGUCGUGCCAACGGCAGUGCUGGGUAGCUAUGAACGGACAGGAUAACCGCUGAAGGCAUCUAAGCGGGAAGCCCCCUUCAAAACAAGGUCUCCCUUGAGAGCCGUGGAAGACCACCACGUCG